rnacentral:rRNA from 1 species
UUUUUGAAUAUAAUUUAAAGUAGGGCCUGCCCMCUGAAUUUUUAAAGGGCCGCAGUAUUUUGACUGUGCAAAGGUAGCAUAAUCAUUAGUUUUUUAAUUGAAAGCUGGAAUGAAUGGUUUGAUGAAAUAAAGACUGUUUCUAAUUUAAUUUUAAAGAAUUUUAUUUUUAAGUAAAAAAGCUUAAAUAAUUUAUAAAGACGAGAAGACCCUAUAGAGUUUAAUUUAAUUAAAUUUAUAAAUUUUAGAAUUAAAUAUUUUUAAAUUAAAAUUAAAUUUUAUUGGGGUGAUAGUAAAAUUAAAUUAACUUUUAUUAAAUUUUUACAUAAAUAAGUGAAUAUUUGAUCCAUAAAAAUGAUUAUAAGAUUAAAUUACCUUAGGGAUAACAGCGUAAUUUUUUUUUAGAGUUCAAAUCGAAAAAAAAGUUUGCGACCUCGAUGUUGGAUUAAAAUUAAGUUUUGGUGUAGAAGCUAAAAUUUUAGGUCUGUUCGACCUUUAAAAUUUUACA